ACUGCAUUCCAGACCAUAAUAUUAUUCUCAGAUGGUGCACCACUGACGCCAACAGGAGGAUCUUCCUGUAAUCUUUUGAAGUCCCUCAUGAGCCUCCUCCUGGCCGGAGUGGACAUGGCCCCUGCUCCAAGGUGGACGGAGAAAGGUACAAGGACG